rnacentral:rRNA from 1 species
GCCUGAAAACUACAAGCGUAAGCUUAAAACUCAAAGGGUCUGGCGGCACUUUAAACUAUCUAGAGGAGCCUGUCCUAUAAUCGAUAAUCCCCGUUAAACCUCACCUUCCUUAGCUAUCAGCCUGUAUACCGCCGUCGUCAGCUUACCCCCUAAAGGUCACACAAGUAAGCAAAAUUGGUUUUACCCUAAACGUCAGGUCGAGGUGCAGCUUACAAGAAGGGAAGAGAUGGGCUACAUUUCCUAGGAAAUACGAAUAGUACACUGAAACAUGUACCUUGAAGGAGGAUUUAGUAGUAAGUAAAAAAUAGAGAGUUUUACUGAAAAAGGUCUUAAAGUGCGUAC